rnacentral:rRNA from 2 species
ACGAAAGUUAGAGGUUCGAAGGCGAUCAGAUACCGCCCUAGUUCUAACCAUAAACGAUGCCAGCCAGCGAUCCGGCUGUGUUCCUCAAAUGACACGCCGGGCAGCUUCCGGGAAACCAAAGCUUUUGGGUUCCGGGGGAAGUAUGGUUGCAAAGCUGAAACUUAAAGGAAUUGACGGAAGGGCACCACCAGGAUUGGAGCUUGCGGUUUAAUUUGACUCAACACGGGACAACCUACCCGGCCCGGACACAGGAAGGAUUGACAGAUUAAGAGCUCUUUCUUGAUUCUGUGGGUGGUGGUGCAUGGCCGUUCUUAGUUGGUGGACUGAUUUGUCUGGUUAAUUCCGUUAACGAACGAGACUCUAGCCUACUAAAUAGACGUUCCGAUUAUUUAUUUUUCGGACGUUCUUCUUAGAGGGACAAUCGGCGCUUAGCCCGAUGAGACAGAGCAAUAACAGGUCUGUGAUGCCCUUUGAUGUCCGGGGCCACACGCGUGCUACAUUGAAGGAAUCAGCGUGUGCUUUCCCUGUCCGACAGGACUGGGUAACCCGUUGAACCUCCUUCGUGCUGGGGAUAGGGGCUUGUAAUUGUUCCCCUUGAACGAGGAAUUCCUAGUAAGCACGAAUCAUCAGUUCGUGUUGACUAAGUCCCUGCCCUUUGUCCACACCGCCCGUCGCUACUACCGAUUGAAUGAUUUAG